rnacentral:sRNA from 1 species
AGUGCAGCCUCCAGCCAGAAGGAUGGGGUGGCUCCCACUCCUGCUGCUUCUGACUCAAUGCUUAGGGGUCCCUGGGCCUUCCACUACAAUGUGAGCAGCCAUGGUUGCCAACUGCUGCCAUGGACUCAACACUCGCCCCACACGAGGCUGCGGCGUUCUGGGCGCUGUGACCUCUUCCAGAAGAAAGGCGAGUGGGGGUGGAGAGGGGCAGGGUGGGAGACAGGGGACCUCAGCCCAAGUUGAUCUUCUGUCUCUUGCUCCCAGACUACAUACGGACCUGCAUCAUGAACAAUGGGGCUGGGUACCGGGGCACCAUGGCCACGACCGUGGGUGGCCUGCCUUGCCAGGCUUGGAGCCACAAGUUCCCGAAUGAUCACAAGUGAGACAAACACCUUCCCUCUGUCCCGGCCUGGGGCCUUCCCCCAACACACACUAUAGUGAUGCUCUGGGCCCUCAGGUACACGCCCACGCUCCGGAAUGGCCUGGAAGAAAACUUCUGCCGUAACCCUGAUGGCGACCCCGGAGGUCCUUGGUGCUACACAACAGACCCUGCCGUGCGCUUCCAGAGCUGCGGCAUCAAAUCCUGCCGGGAGGCCGCGUGUGUCUGGUGCAAUGGCGAGGAUUACCGCGGCGCGGUAGACCGCACGGAGUCAGGGCGCGAGUGCCAGCGCUGGGAUCUUCAGCACCCGCACCAGCACCCCUUCGAGCCGGGCAAGUUCCUCGAUCAAGGUCUGGACGACAACUAUUGCCGGAAUCCUGACGGCUCCGAGCGGCCA